rnacentral:lncRNA from 1 species
AUACAUCUUGGUUACUCCAGGGUGAAUGCUCAUUCCACUCCUAUGACCUUCUUCCAAAAUCAUCUUCUUUAUCUCGGGCACAUCGGGCACGCACACUCUUCCAUGAAAUCUCACAACUCGAUUCUCGUCAACUUUGAAAUUAGCUUCUUUUCCUUCCUCAACUACUAUUGCCAACUUCUCCAUUAACUUCUUAUCCGUCUUUUGACAUUCUUUGAUAUUCUCUAGAAAAGGAUUCGUCAACUUCAACAUUCCCAAUUUCACACUCUUAGGAGUCACUUCACACACUAGACUCAAAUCUCGGAAUUCUUCAAUCAACUCCAGCUCUUUCACCAUUAGUGAUGACAUGUGCAACGAUUUCCUACUCAACGCAUCGGCCACCACAUUAGC